rnacentral:rRNA from 1 species
AUUGAACGCUGGCGGCAUGCUUUACACAUGCAAGUCGAACGGCAGCGCGGGCUUCGGCCUGGCGGCGAGUGGCGAACGGGUGAGUAAUGCAUCGGAACGUGCCCAGCAGUGGGGGAUAGCCCGGCGAAAGCCGGAUUAAUACCGCAUACGACCUGAGGGUGAAAGCGGGGGACCGAAAGGCCUCGCGCUAUUGGAGCGGCCGAUGUCGGAUUAGCUAGUUGGUGGGGUAAAGGCUUACCAAGGCGACGAUCCGUAGCUGGUCUGAGAGGACGACCAGCCACCCUGGGGCUGAGACACGGCCCAGGCUCCUACGGGAGGCAGCAGUGGGGAAUUUUGGACAAUGGGGGCAACCCUGGUCCAGCCAUGCCGCGUGCGGGAAGAAGGCCUUCGGGUUGUAAACCGCUUUUGUUCGGGAAGAAAUCCUCUGGGCUAAUACCCCGGGGGGAUGACGGUACCGGAAGAAUAAGCACCGGCUAACUACGUG